rnacentral:rRNA from 1 species
UGCGUUAACGAACGAGACCUUAACCUGCUAAAUAGCCCGCGCCGCCUCGGCGGCGUGCUGGCUUCUUAGAGGGACUAUCGGCUCAAGCCGAUGGAAGUUUGAGGCAAUAACAGGUCUGUGAUGCCCUUAGAUGUCCUGGGCGGCACGCGCGCUACACUGGCGCGGCCAGCGAGUACUCCCUUGGCCGAAGGGCCCGGGUAAUCUUGUUAAACCGCGCCGUGCUGGGGAUAGAGCAUUGCAAUUAUUGCUCUUCAACGAGGAAUCCCUAGUAAGCGCAAGUCAUCAGCUUGCGCUGAUUACGUCCCUGCCCUUUGUACACACCGCCCGUCGCUAAUACCGAUUGAAUGGCUGG